CCUGAUGCAGCCAUGCCGCGUGUGUGAAGAAGGCCUUCGGGUUGUAAAGCACUUUCAGUCGUGAGGAAGGUGGUGUAGUUAAUAGCUGCAUUAUUUGACGUUAGCGACAGAAGAAGCACCGGCUAACUCCGUGCCAGCAGCCGCGGUAAUACGGAGGGUGCGAGCGUUAAUCGGAAUUACUGGGCGUAAAGCGCAUGCAGGUGGUUAGUUAAGUCAGAUGUGAAAGCCCGGGGCUCAACCUCGGAACUGCAUUUGAAACUGGCUGACUAGAGUACUGUAGAGGGGGGUAGAAUUUCAGGUGUAGCGGUGAAAUGCGUAGAGAUCUGAAGGAAUACCGGUGGCGAAGGCGGCCCCCUGGACAGAUACUGACACUCAGAUGCGAAAGCGUGGGGAGCAAACAGGAUUAGAUACCCUGGUAGUCCACGCCGUAAACGAUGUCUACUUGGAGGUUGUGGCCUUGAGCCGUGGCUUUCGGAGCUAACGCGUUAAGUAGACCGCCUGGGGAGUACGGUCGCAAGAUUAAAACUCAAAUGAAUUGACGGGGGCCCGCACAAGCGGUGGAGCAUGUGGUUUAAUUCGAUGCAACGCGAAGAACCUUACCUACUCUUGACAUCCAGAGAACUUAGCAGAGAUGCUUUGGUGCCUUCGGGAACUCUGAGACAGGUGCUGCAUGGCUGUCGUCAGCUCGUGUUGUGAAAUGUUGGGUUAAGUCCCGCAACGAGCGCAACCCUUAUCCUUGUUUGCCAGCGAGUAAUGUCGGGAACUCCAGGGAGACUGCCGGUGAUAAACCGGAGGAAGG
rnacentral:rRNA from 1 species